GCCUCUGGAGGCGUCUGGUGACGUCGGCGGAUUGUCCAUCCGAAUCAGGCGAGUUCGAUUCUCGUCAGGGGCG
rnacentral:tRNA from 1 species